GCUGCCUCCGGGCGCCCAACCUCCCACCCGUGACUACCUAACACUGUUGCUUCGGCGGGGAGCCCUCUCGGGGGCGAGCCGCCGGGGACUACUGAACUUCAUGCCUGAGAGUGAUGCAGUCUGAGUCUGAAUAUAAAAUCAGUCAAAACUUUCAACAAUGGAUCUCUUGGUUCCGGCAUCGAUGAAGAACGCAGCGAACUGCGAUAAGUAAUGUGAAUUGCAGAAUUCAGUGAAUCAUCGAGUCUUUGAACGCACAUUGCGCCCCCUGGCAUUCCGGGGGGCAUGCCUGUCCGAGCGUCAUUGCUGCCCAUCAAGCCCGGCUUGUGUGUUGGGUCGUCGUCCCCCCCGGGGGACGGGCCCGAAAGGCAGCGGCGGCACCGUGUCCGGUCCUCGAGCGUAUGGGGCUUUGUCACCCGCUCGAUUAGGGCCGGCCGGGCGCCAGCCGACGUCUCCAACCAUUUUCUUCAGGUUGACCUCGGAUCAGGUAGGGAUACCCGCUGAACUUAAGCAUAUCAAUAAGCGAGGGAAAAAGAAAACCU
rnacentral:rRNA from 1 species